rnacentral:rRNA from 1 species
GAUGAACGCUGGCGGUCUGCUUAACACAUGCAAGUCGAACGGAAUCCUUCGGGAUUUAGUGGCGGACGGGUGAGUAACGCGUGAGAACCUGCCUUCAGGUUCGGGACAACAGCUGGAAACGGCUGCUAAUACCGGCUGUGCCGAGAGGGGAAAGCUUUAGUGCCUGAAGAUGAGCUCGUGUCUGAUUAGCUAGUAGGAGUGGUAAUGGCACCCCUAGGCGACGAUCAGUAGCUGGUCUGAGAGGAUGAUCAGCCACACUGGGACUGAGACACGGCCCAGACUCCUACGGGAGGCAGCAGUGGGGAAUUUUCCGCAAUGGGCGCAAGCCUGACGGAGCAAGACCGCGUGAGGGAAGAAGGUCUGUGGAUUGUAAACCUCUUUUGAUGGGGAAGAAGACAGUGACGGUACCCAUCGAAUCAGCCUCGGCUAACUCCGUGCCAGCCGCCGCCGUAA